AGACCAGGUCUGAGGAAGUAUUCCUGUCAACUCACAAUCGACACAAACACAGUGAACACAAAGCUCAAACUGUCUGACAACAACAGGAAGGUGACACGUGUGAAGGAGGUUCAGUCAUAUCCUGAUCAUCCAAACAGAUUUGAUGUUCGUCAGCUGCUUUGUAGAAAUGGUCUGACUGGUCGCUGUUACUGGGAGGUCGAGUGGAGAGGAAACGUUUGUAUAUCAGUGAGUUACAGAAGAAUCAGAAGGAAAGGAGACAGUAAUGACUGUUGGUUUGGAUUCAAUGAUCAGUCCUGGAGUCUGUGGUGCUAUGAUAAUGCUCCUCAGUCUGUUUGGCACAAUAACAGAACAACAUCCAUCUCCUCCUCCUCCUCCUCCUCUGUCUCUAACAGAGUAGCAGUGUAUGUGGACUGUCCUGCUGGCACUCUGUCUUUCUACAGAGUCUCCUCUGACACUCUGAUCCACCUCCACACCUUCAACACCACAUUCACUGAAACUCUUUAUCCUGGGAUUUGGUUCAGGUUUCCCGGUGCCUCAGUGUCCCUGUGCUGAGUGGAGUGUAAAGAGUGUCUCCUGUUAGAGAAACACUGUGACUGUUGAACAGAUAGUUCAGUCUGUACAUGUCUGUCUCUUUCACUCACAAACACGUUUUCAGAUUCAUGGAUUCAAUCAUUAUUACCUGUAAUAAAUGUGAAAGUAAAGAUUCCUGCAGUGAUAACCAGGCAGGACUGAAACACAUCCAAGCUGUCACCACGGUAACAGCACCGCCUAUCCACAGGUGAGGGGAGGAGGAAAAAGAGGGACUUUCACGAUUUUAUACUAAAAACACUCGACUAAUGUUUCUUAUAUGAAACAAAUAAGCCCACAUUAAUGUGAGCAUUUAUUAAAUAAUAAUAAUAAUGAUUUCCUCCUGAUCUCAUUUCCAUAGCAGAGAAAACUGUGGUGUAUAUUGAGGUGGAGGGUGUGGUCUAU